rnacentral:rRNA from 1 species
UACGUAGGGGGCAAGCGUUGUCCGGAAUCAUUGGGCGUAAAGAGCGUGUAGGCGGCCAGCUAAGUCCGCUGUGAAAUCUCGAGGCUCAACUUCGAGCUGUCGGUGGAAACUGUCUGGCUAGAGUCCGGAAGAGGAGAAUGGAAUUCCUGGUGUAGCGGUGAAAUGCGCAGAUAUCAGGAAGAACACCCGUGGCGAAGGCGGUGCUCUGGGACGGUACUGACGCUGAGACGCGAAAGCGUGGGGAGCGAACAGG